GGCCUCUUGGUGCUUACCACAGGCUGUGUUCUUACCCUGUAUAAAAAGUCAGAGUAAACCUACCCCAUAUACAUGUCAGUCCAGGCAAUGUGCCUGGUCUGUAUUAUAAAUGGGAAGACAUGG
ensembl:snoRNA